ensembl:lncRNA
GUGUAGUUGUCACGAAGUGACUUUGAGGGCGGAACCAAAGUGAGAGGAGAAGUUCCGCCCGGACCGGAAAUGUGUAAGCCCUUGUCACUUCCGGAAACUCCGAACGCCCCAAAUCAAGUGAAAUCUGCAGCAGGUGUGUCCAAUGAUGUGGCGAUUGCAGACAGGGCAUUUGUGAGUAUAAAGAGGGCAUCGAGGAUACAGGAAGGUGUGUUGUUUUUGCCUCCCAAGGAACGCCACGAGUGGGACGGAGUGUUUGGGCGCUGGAGUAGGGCGAAGCAGAUGAGAGCAAUUGUGGAGUCGCUAAGCGAAUUGGAGGAUUUGAAAACGGCCACUGGAACAGGUUUGCCAAAGGGAAGUUUAUGGGAAGAAGUCGUACUCACUCGUGUCUGUUGUACGAAGGUGCCGUAGGGAAAUAGUGACAUUGUGGAACAACGAAGACAUUUCUGGGCGUCUGUACGAAGCUGGGGAGAGAAAGAGAGCGGGAGAAGAUUAGUCUUACGAAGACUGUGAGUACAUUGGAUUGCUUAGAUUGUUGUUUAUAUCUGGAUGAGAAAGAGAGCGGGAGAAGAUCAGUAUCACGAAGACUGUGAGUACAUUGGAUUGCUUACAUAUCAUUGCUCAUACUUGGAUAUGGAUAACUAAUACCUGUUGGAGUGAUUAACAGCUUGUUGAGCGGCCCCAUCGUUGGAGGACGAGACGAGUGGGUGAGCCGAAGUAGAGCGUGGGUGAAUGGUUGUUAUUUGGCUGUGGCCACACCGUAAAGUUUGGAGCACUUACCGUGACAGCGACUGCAAACUCCUCCAGGACGAAAUCCGACCGGGCGUGGAGUACCGACCUUAAAAAUCACUGAAGUGUGUGUAGUGCAGUGGGUGAGUCUGUCUUUGACGUGUGUACACCAAAGCUUUGCAGUGCUGUGCCGUGUCCCUGUUGUCUGUACUCGCCCUCCAGGCCGAGAAAAGUUGCUGUUGGAGAGAACGUAGGCUGCCGUGGCGGUGCCCACCUAUUCCACUUACGCCCGCCUAUAACUCCGUUCUCCGGACCCAGCUCGAAGGUGAAGUGUGAAAGCAAAACAAGGUAUUGUGCGGAUAUUGUGGGGAAAGCUACUGACCUUGAAUACGCCCUGUAAAGCCCAGCGUGAAGAUACAGUUACUUGUUGAAUACUUACCUGUCUGUACGAGCUAAAAGCUAUUGCCCUUGAAUACGCCCUGUAAGCCCAGCGUGAAGAUACAGCCACUUGUUGAAUACUUACCUCUCUGUACGAGCUAAAAGCUGCUGACCUUGAAUACGCCCUGUAAAGCCCAGUGUGAAGAUACAGCUACUUGUUGAAUACUUACCCGCCUGCACGAGUUAAAAGCCAUUGCUCUGGAACCCGCUCAGUAAGUCUAGUGUGAAGAGUCAGUCACCUUGCUCAAUAUCUAUCUGUGAUACGAGUAAAAAGUUACUCGCUUCUGAUAUACCGGUGGACAUCCAGGGGCAUGGCCUAGUUACCUUACCGUUGUUCCUUACCUGUGCCCUCAGGGAUUUGGGUGUUACCAAUAUCUACCUAGGAGGUCUAUGGGAGUGGAGGAGCUGUCCAGACGCUGGUGAAGUACAACCCAAAGAGCAAAGAAGCUAGGAACCAGGCAUUCUUCGUUUUACCCAUUACUCAUUGUGUGUUCUUGUUGCCUUCAGGAGAAGAGAAGGGCGCCACGGGAAAUCAAGCAGUUAAGGAAGGACUUAGGAUUAGUCAGGAGACUGGUGGAAGUUCUGGGAAAGGACGGAAGAGCCCUUGCCCCCCCCCCUCCCCUGGUGAUUACUUACCAAAGACCUCCAGAGUUCUCAGGCCCAGUCCCCUCCUGUCAAGAGACGAAAAUCAAAGUUUUAGAUUCCCCUUUUCUCC